rnacentral:pre_miRNA from 1 species
AAGUUACUCCCUCCGUUCGGAAUUACUUGUCGUAAAAAUGAAUGUAUCUAGAUGUAUUUUAGUUCUAGAUACAUCCAUUUUCAAGACAAGUAAUUCCGAACGGAGGGAGUACUUC